rnacentral:lncRNA from 1 species
CUAUCCUCUUUGCUAGACUUAUGGUAAGCACCAUUAGGGUAUUUGCAGAGCUAGCAGUGGUAUUUGUUUUGGAUGUGGCAAACCAGGCCAUAGAGUCAGAGACUGUCCUCAGCUAGGUCCUUAGGGUCUGUAGAACCAUUACUCAGCUCAGUCCGGUCGCCUAAAUAAGCAGGUUUCCACUUCCAGUGCUACUAGUGGGCAACACCUUAACAGACUUUAUACUCUCCAGUCCCG